UGAAUAUAUAAGUCUGGUCUACCUACAGUAGCAUGUCAUGUUCCCUGGAUCGGUGGCAUGUGAAAUCUGGUAGCUUGGACAGUAAUAAAUAAAUAAAAUUGUAAUUGUCAAACCAGGUGUAUACCAUGUUCUCGGGAUCGGUGGUAUGUUCCUUUGGGGAGACAAACAAAAAAAACUAAUAAUUGGUCGAGCCAGGUGUAUACCAUGUUCUCGGGAUCGGUGGUAUGUUCCUAUGGUGAGACUAAUAAUAAUAUAAUCAUUGCUUUAUCUCUGUAAAUAAGUGAUUUGAUCACAAGAUUUAAUUCCAGUUCAUUUUGUUCUUGGGAUCAUGCUCUCUUUAGGAACCAUUUGGCACAGUCAUCAUUUAAACUUGUUGAUCCUCUUUUAUCAUUGUAAAAGUUUAAAAUGGUCAUGCUUACUAGUAUUCUAUUGCUCUGUAGCACUCUUAACCACUGAUUUUCACUAGCUAAGUCCAAAGCAUGCAUUGUUUAGAGAUCUACUUCACUUGGACAUUCUCUAGUCAGCUCACAAUUCACUAUCUAGUUCUUGACAUAUUCCUUUGCUUGAGGACAAGCAAAGAUUUAAGUGUGGGGGAACUUGAUAAGUGCAUUUCAUAUAUAUAACUUGGCACUCAAAUUUAGCAUCUAUCGUGAUAUAUCCAUCCAUUCUUGCUAUGAGUUGUGAUAUAUUUGAAUGAAAAUCAUAUAAAAGAUCAUUUACUUGUCAUUUGUUUAUUUUGCAGAAAAGUGCGAUAAGGCACUAUAAUCUUGAAGAUCUUGUCUACAAAGAAAGAGGAUACAAGACCGAGGGCCAAUAGAAGAGAAGGGGGACUCGAGUAUGAAGAAUUAAAGAAAUGGAGGGCCAAAACUAAAGAAGAAAGGGAUCUACUUGAGGCUAAAGAAGAGAAGAAGGAGGGCAAAAGUGCAAAAAUGCAGAUCUGGGAGGGGAUCAAAAUCCCUAGCCGCAUCUCCAUUGCAAUCGGGCCUGGCACACAAAUCUCUCCCUCACCCCUCCUCCUACUCCGGCCGCCGCCACGGCUAGGCCGGCGUGGUGGCGCGUCAUCAGCUCCUCCCCACGCCUCCACCAGCUCCACCGCGCCAUCUCCACCAGCUCCACCGUGCCAUCUCCACCACCCACCACACGCCACCAAAUCCAUCCACCAUCGCCACCAUCUCCAGCCACCGCCGCACCUCGCGCGCCCGACCAGACAAGAGGGUCACGGGCGCCUGGUCCUCCGCGUGAGCGCCCCCGUGCUGCUGAUCUUCUUCUUCUCUUCCUACUGCUUCUUCUCCCUUCUCCAACCUCCUGCUGCUGCCUCUUUCUUCUCUUGCCCUGCUGUUCUUCUUCCUCUUUUCCUCACCUUGCUGCUGCUCUGAACCUUAACUUGUUGCUGCCACUUCUUCUUCUCUGAACCCAACGCUGCUAGCUGCUGCUCCUAAUCUUCUCUGAACCCCAGCCUGCUGCUCUUUCUCUUCUCCCUCAACGCCUGCUGCUGCUUCCUCUCUGCGUCCCCUGCUGCUCCUAACCUUGCUGCUGCUUCUCUCUUCUUCCCUUAUCUCUGCUGCUGCUCGUCUCCAACUGAACCUGCUGUUCUCUUUCCCCCUCUCUGUAAUUCAUGGAAAUUGUAAUGUAUUAAGUAUUUUGUUUAGUUCAGAGACCUGUACUUGUCUAGUAGUAUUAUUCAAUAUAUGUGCCCUGUUUAUCAAUUAGUGUUUUUGUAAGAACUAAGAUUACUAGUCAAUUUUUGUGUUGUUUGUGUGCUCUGUCAAGUGAGAAGUUUGAACCUCUUUAAAUUCUUAGUCCCUGUGUUAGCUAUGUACAUGUGGAUAUAUAUGUUUGUUAUGCGAAAUAUUUGACCUGUUUAGUGAUACAGUAUUCUUCAUAUGUGUGUGGUGUCCUGUGAUAUAUACAUAUAUGUGUGUUUGUGUUGUGAUAUAUUUUCGUCCCUGUCUUAGUAUUGUUUCUUCCCUUUGUUCAUGUAUGAUAGUUAUAUAUGUGUCCUUGUCAUAUUAUUCCCCUUUGUGUUAGUGUUUUAGAUUCUCAAGUGUGAUGAAAAUACCAAAAAGAUAUUGAGUAAAAUCCGAUUCUCCCUUGUUGCUUAUCUGCAAUUUUGUUUGCUGACAAUCAUUGAUAGUUUAGGUUUACUUUUUGUUCUCAUCAUCUAAAUUCUGUCACCUAGCUUUAGCCAAAGCAUAGUCGCCGUCGUCUAGUCCUUGUGGAGAACACGACAUCCGUAGUUUGGGCAUAAAAACCCUGCUAUAUUACAAUCGAUC
rnacentral:rRNA from 1 species